ensembl:lncRNA
GCUUAUGCCCAGGUGGCCCCAUCCUAUCCCGCCCACACCCCUGGGGACAGUCUUUCCAUCAAGCCCUAGCGAUGCUCAGCAGCCAGGUCCCUCUGACAGGGCCCUGGCUGCCGCAUCCAAUGAGGCCAGCCCACAGAACUGGUCAGAGGGACCCAGGUCAGCUCAACUGAGAGGAUACCCACUUCUCUGAGCCUGAGGAAAGCAGAAGAAGGGGGGCCAAUGGACAUGUCUGCAGGUUUCAGGAAGAUUAAAGGACUCAACACAUGGAAAGCAGUCAGCACAACGCCUGCCCAUCUUGUGCACUCAGCAUACAUCAGCUGUUCUUACUUCCAGGAGAGGUGGGGAAGAUGCUGGAUGGGCCUUGGCAGCCUAGACGUCAACUGCACCAUGAGAGAGGCUGAGCUCUCGCUGACCUGCCUCCCAUCUCCAGGAAGUUCCUCCCUGGAACCAACCAUGAAUGAAUAAAAGUACCUCCUAUAAGAAGGAGAUACUGUCUCACAAUUCUGGAGGCCAGAGUGAAAUCAAGGUGUGAGCAGGACUAAUAUUUAGGAAUUUGUUCAGACUGACUCUUGGCAGGCAUCAAAUCUCAAGCAUCAAAGAAAUCUGGUGGAUAAAUUUCCAGAAAGCCUCCUAGGCAAGUGCCUAUGAACACUUUUCUAUUAGCAGAAGCACCCAAAGGAGAAGUCCAGAGAUGGAUCAAGGAAGAAAAAGCAAAAGUCCUACUCCUCUCACUUAGGCCUCAAGCAAUGUGUGACACUUGUCCUCCGUGUCUUCUCUGUUGCCUUUCAGAAUCCCCGUCUAAAUUUCCAGCUAAUCUCAGCAUGAGGAGUAAGUCAGCAGCCCUCUGAAGGCCUCCUUGGGGCACAGCCUACUCUCUGCAGGGUGUUCCCCAUCUGAGCCCUAUCUACACCAGCUCUUGCAGAUGACUGGAUCCUAAGCACACAGACCUCCCCAAUUCCCACUUCCCCCAGCAAUUUUUGUGACUCUGCUUUAACCUAUAAACUGAAGGGCAAGGCAGGGGAUGUUUUCCUGUUCUCUUUAAUCUGGUAUGUAAUAAAUUAUGCCUAUUUAAUCCUUUAACAACUGAACAAAUGACUGAAUCAGUCUUAGAACAUUCAGCAAUCCCUUUUUAUGAAAACUUAAUUUGAAGUCUAUGUAAUAGCAGAGAGAGAGAGAGAAAGAGAAGGAGGGAGCGAAGGAGACAAGAGACCAGAAAGCAGCAAUCCCCCGGCACCAUCCUGGAUGGGCUGCCAAAGGCAGGGGCUAAGG